rnacentral:rRNA from 1 species
UACGUAGGGGGCGAGCGUUGUCCGGAUUCAUUGGGCGUAAAGCGCGCGCUGGCGGCUUCGUAAGUCGGCCGUGAAAUCUCCGGGCUUAACUCGGAGGGGUCGGGCGAGACUGCGAGGCUCGAGGCGGGUAGAGGGCAGUGGAAUUCCGGGUGUAGUGGUGGAAUGCGUAGAGAUCCGGAGGAACACCAGUGGCGAAGGCGGCUCUCUGGUACGGUACUGACGCUGAGACGCGAAAGCGUGGGGAGCGAACAGG